AAUGAACGCUGGCGGCAGGCUUAAUACAUGCAAGUCGAACGGCAGCGGGUCCAGCAAUGGAUGCCGGCGAGUGGCGCACGGGUGCGUAACACGUAUGCAACCUACCUUUAACCGGGACAUAACCUCGAGAAAUCGUGGCUAAUAUUCCAUAAUAUCUUUGAAUCGCAUGGUUUGAAGAUCAAAAUUCCGAUGGUUUUAGAUGGGCAUGCGCGACAUUAGCUAGUUGGUGAGGUAAUGGCUCACCAAGGCUACGAUGUUUAGGGGGUCUGAGAGGAUGAUCCCCCACACUGGUACUGAGACACGGACCAGACUCCUACGGGAGGCAGCAGUAAGGAAUAUUGGGCAAUGGGCGCAAGCCUGACCCAGCCAUGCCGCGUGCAGGAUGACAGCCCUACGGGUUGUAAACUGCUUUUAUACGGGAAAAAACCCUCUGACGUGUCAGAGGCUGAUGGUACCGUAAGAAUAAGCAUCGGCUAACUCCGUGCCAGCCGCCGCGGUAACAC
rnacentral:rRNA from 1 species